UUGACGGGGAGCACCACAACGGGUGGAGCUUGCGGUUUAAUUGGAUUCAACGCCGGAAAUCUUACCGGGACCGACAGCAAUAUGAAGGCCAGGCUGAAGACUUUGCCGGAUUAGCUGAGAGGUGGUGCAUGGCCGUCGUCAGUUCGUACUGUGAAGCAUCCUGUUAAGUCAGGCAACGAGCGAGACCCACGCCCACAGUUGCCAGCGUACUCUCUGGAGUGACGGGUACACUGUGGGGACCGCCGCUGCUAAAGCGGAGGAAGGAAUGGGCAACGGUAGGUCAGUAUGCCCCGAAUUAUCCGGGCUACACGCGGGCUACAAUGGUCAGGACAAUGGGUAUCGACACCGAGAGGUGGAGGCAAUCUCCUAAACCUGUCCUUAGUUCGGAUUGUGGGCUGCAACUCGCCCACAUGAAGCUGGAAUCCGUAGUAAUCGCGUUUCAAAAUAGCGCGGUGAAUAUGUCCCUGCUCCUU
rnacentral:rRNA from 1 species